CAAAAAUCGAAAGGAAAAAGACGAUGAGGAAUGCUAAAAUAAAAAAAACAAAGAUAAAGAUACUAAAUAUAAAUAAAAGAAAUAAAUAAAUUAGUUGGAGGUGCUAGUGAUUGGGGAAUUCACCCUUAAAUGUAUGAUUUAUCGAAUAUCAUGCCAUAAAAUAGGAGUCAAUACAUUUAAUUAUCCAUUUUGCUACAAUAAAAAUAAAAAAUAUUCAAUCACAUAAAAAAUUUAAAAAUUAACCAUCAUUUGUGCAAAAAUACAUAUAUACUCCUGUCAUAAAAAUUGAAUUUAUCAACUUAUAAUUCCUAUUCAUGAAUUCCGUCAGAUUUAAAUCUCCAUUUUUUUCUCUAUACGUCUUCUCUCCUUCUCUCUUUUCAUGUGAU
rnacentral:lncRNA from 1 species